GGGCUUGUAGAUCAGCUGGAAGAUCGCCGCCUUUGCAAGGCGGAGGCCUGGAGUUCAAUUCCCCACAAGUCCA
rnacentral:tRNA from 2 species